AGAGUUCGAUCCUGGCUCAGGAUGAACGCUGGCGGCGCGCCUAACACAUGCAAGUCGAACGGCACCCACCUUCGGGUGGAAGCGAGUGGCGAACGGCUGAGUAACACGUGGAGAACCUGCCCCCUCCCCCGGGAUAGCCGCCCGAAAGGACGGGUAAUACCGGAUACCCCGGGGUGCCGCAUGGCACCCCGGCUAAAGCCCCGACGGGAGGGGAUGGCUCCGCGGCCCAUCAGGUAGACGGCGGGGUGACGGCCCACCGUGCCGACAACGGGUAGCCGGGUUGAGAGACCGACCGGCCAGAUUGGGACUGAGACACGGCCCAGACUCCUACGGGAGGCAGCAGUGGGGAAUCUUGCGCAAUGGGGGGAACCCUGACGCAGCGACGCCGCGUGCGGGACGGAGGCCUUCGGGUCGUAAACCGCUUUCAGCAGGGAAGAGUCAAGACUGUACCUGCAGAAGAAGCCCCGGCUAACUACGUGCCAGCAGCCGCGGUAAUACGUAGGGGGCGAGCGUUAUCCGGAUUCAUUGGGCGUAAAGCGCGCGUAGGCGGCCCGGCAGGCCGGGGGUCGAAGCGGGGGGCUCAACCCCCCGAAGCCCCCGGAACCUCCGCGGCUUGGGUCCGGUAGGGGAGGGUGGAACACCCGGUGUAGCGGUGGAAUGCGCAGAUAUCGGGUGGAACACCGGUGGCGAAGGCGGCCCUCUGGGCCGAGACCGACGCUGAGGCGCGAAAGCUGGGGGAGCGAACAGGAUUAGAUACCCUGGUAGUCCCAGCCGUAAACGAUGGACGCUAGGUGUGGGGGGACGAUCCCCCCGUGCCGCAGCCAACGCAUUAAGCGUCCCGCCUGGGGAGUACGGCCGCAAGGCUAAAACUCAA
rnacentral:rRNA from 1 species